UAGAGCAUCUGCCUUACAAGCAGGGGGUCAUAGGUUCGAGUCCUAUAUCACCCACCA
rnacentral:tRNA from 1 species